rnacentral:rRNA from 1 species
CAAGUCGAGCGAUGAAGCACCUUCGGGUGUGAAUUAGCGGCGAACGGGUGAGGAACACGUGAGAAAUCUGCCUUCAACUCUGGGAUAACUCCGUGAAAACGGGGCUAAUACCGGAUAUGAAACCUGCGGGCAUCCGCGGGUUUGGAAAGUUUUUCGGUUGAAGAUGAUCUCGCGGCCUAUCAGCUUGUUGGUGAGGUAAUGGCUCACCAAGGCGACGACGGGUAGCCGGCCUGAGAGGGCGACCGGCCACACUGGGACUGAGACACGGCCCAGACUCCUACGGGAGGCAGCAGUGGGGAAUAUUGGGCAAUGGAGGAAACUCUGACCCAGCGACGCCGCGUGCGGGAUGAAGGCCUUCGGGUUGUAAACCGCUUUCAGCAGGGAAGAAGCGAGAGUGACGGUACCUGCAGAAGAAGCACCGGCUAACUAUGUGCCAGCAGCCGCGGUAAUACAUAGGGUGCAAGCGUUGUCCGGAAUUAUUGGGCGUAAAGAGCUCGUAGGUGGUUCGUCACGUCGGAUGUGAAACUCUGGGGCUUAACCCCAGACCUGCAUUCGAUACGGGCGAGCUUGAGUAUGGUAGGGGAGUCUGGAAUUCCUGGUGCAGCGGUGGAAUGCGCAGAUAUCAGGAGGAACACCAAUGGCGAAGGCAGGACUCUGGGCCAUUACUGACACUGAGGAGCGAAAGCGUGGGGAGCGAACAGGAUUAGAUACCCUGGUAGUCCACGCCGUAAACGGUGGGCACUAGUUGUGGGGACCUUCCACGGUCUCUGCGACGCAGCUAACGCAUUAAGUGCCCCGCCUGGGGAGUACGAUCGCAAGAUUAAAACUCAAAGGAAUUGACGG